rnacentral:rRNA from 1 species
UACGGAGGAUCCAAGCGUUAUCCGGAUUCAUUGGGUUUAAAGGGUGCGUAGGCGGAAUGAUAAGUCAGUGGUGAAAGCCUGCAGCUUAACUGCAGAACUGCCAUUGAUACUGUCAAUCUUGAGUACAUUUGAUGUGGGCGGAAUGUGUCAUGUAGCGGUGAAAUGCUUAGAUAUGACACAGAACACCGAUUGCGAAGGCAAGCUC